CCCCGCCAUACCUUCUUCCAAAAAACCAAAAAGGCUCCAAAUUCCUCCCCCGUGACCCAGAACAGAAAAGAUGAAGAAGAGCUCAUCGUGGAAGAUCUGGAAGAGGGGUCAGCAACCUUUCCCAUCCCUCAGACCAUGUGGUAGGCAGGACUAUAUUUUGGGGAGGAGGGUGAACGAAUUCCUAUACCCCACAAAUAACCCAGAGAUGCAUUUCAAAUAAAAGGACACAUUUUACUCAUGGAAAAACACGCUCAUUCCCGGGCCAGAUUGA